rnacentral:tRNA from 1 species
GCGGCGGUAGAGAAGCUUGGUCAAACUCGCACCAUUCCCAAUGGUGUGCUAUAGAGCUUCGUGGGCUCAAAUCCCGCCCGCCGCACCA